AUUUGAUAUUUUUUUUCCCCUUCUGACGUCAAUGGACCAUGUUUACUACUCGCUAGUGCCAAGCCAACUGCUGUCCUUUUAUCUCCUCCAUGUGACUGGUACUCUAUACUCACACAGGUUAAAAUUGCAGAAGGAAAAUGAUAUUAUAGUUAAAAAGCAAGCCCAUGGCGUAGAAAAGGCAGUAAAACUAGCUUGGUUUCUCUGUUCCAAGAAGAAUCUGCACAUUUCACAUGAGGCUGUGGAUUUUCUGUUGCCAAUUUUCUUGAUCCUGGUGGGGAAUGAAUACUUACAAGAAAAUGGAGAAGGUAAACUCGGUUUUGGCAUUUUGCUUUGUUUGCUCUGGUAUUUCAAGACUUGACAAAGAAAAAAAUUUUGCAAGAAUUUUCUAGGUAUUAAUUAUUUCCAUGUUUCAUUAUUCUUCUGUG
rnacentral:misc_RNA from 1 species